GUGAAUUAAACAUGCUUGGUGUCUUCGCUUCGGCAAGGCCCUUGCUUAAAUCCACAUCCUAACACCUGUGAACUGUAAGACGUAUGAUGAGGUCUUUGGCCAAGUCAUCGUCUGCCCAUUUUUAACCAAACAAUUAAUGUAACAAACGUAGUCUUAUUAUAACCUAAUA
rnacentral:misc_RNA from 1 species